GAUGAACGCUGGCGGCGUGCCUAAUACAUGCAAGUCGAGCGAACAGAUAAGGAGCUUGCUCCUUUGACGUUAGCGGCGGACGGGUGAGUAACACGUGGGUAACCUACCUAUAAGACUGGAAUAACUCCGGGAAACCGGGGCUAAUGCCGGAUAACAUUUAGAACCGCAUGGUUCUAAAGUGAAAGAUGGUUUUACUAUCACUUAUAGAUGGACCCGCGCCGUAUUAGCUAGUUGGUAAGGUAACGGCUUACCAAGGCAACGAUACGUAGCCGACCUGAGAGGGUGAUCGCCCACACUGGAACUUGGACACGGUCCAGACUCCUACGGGAGGCAGCAGUAGGGAAUCUUCCGCAAUGGGCGAAAGCCUGACGGAGCAACGCCGCGUGAGUGAUGAAGGUCUUCGGAUCGUAAAACUCUGUUAUUAGGGAAGAACAAAUGUGUAAGUAACUGUGCACGUCUUGACGGUACCUAAUCAGAAAGCCACGGCUAACUACGUG
rnacentral:rRNA from 1 species